rnacentral:SRP_RNA from 1 species
GCCGGGUGUGGUGGUGCAUGCCUGUAAUUCCAACUACUCGGGAGGCUGAGGCAGGAGAAUUACUUGAACCUGGGAGGCAGAGGCUGCAGUGAGCUGAGAUCAUGCCACUGCACUCCAGCCUGGGUUACAGAGCGAGACUCUGCCUCAA